CCCACCACAGAAGGUAAUAGUCCUGUAUGUUAAACGAGAAGACUUCAGAUAUGAUCCAGAGUACCACGGGACACGUGAAACCCUGUGGGAAGCAGGAGGGACCACCCUCCAAGGCUAAAUACUACCUAGUGACCGAUAGCGUAUAGUACCGUGAGGGAAAGGUGAAAAGAACCCCGGGAGGGGAGUGAAAUAGAACCUGAAACCCUGCACUUACAAGCUGUGGAAGCACAUUUCUUGUGUGACCGCGUACUUUUUGUAGAACGGGCCAACGAGUUACGUUAAGUAGCAAGGUUAAGCACUUAAGGUGUGGAGCCGUAGCGAAAGCGAGUUUUAACUGAGCGUUCAGUUACUUGACGUAGACCCGAAACCGGGCGACCUACCCAUGAGCAGGAUGAAGCGAAAGUAAAAUUUCGUGGAGGUCCGAACCCACGAGCGUUGAAAAGCUCGGGGAUGACUUGUGGGUAGCGGUGAAAUUCCAAUCGAGCCCGGAGAUAGCUGGUUCUCCCCGAAAUAGCUUUAGGGCUAGCCUCAAGGUGAGAGAUACGGAGGUAGAGCACUGAAUGUCCUAGGGGGUAUUGCACCUACCGAAGACUAUCAAACUCCGAAUGCCGUCAUCUUAUACUUGGGAGUCAGACUGUGGGUGAUAAGAUUCAUAGUCGAAAGGGCAACAGCCCAGAUCGUCAGCUAAGGUCCCUAAAUGUAAGUUAAGUGGUAAAGGAUGUGGGAUUGCACAGACAACCAGGAUGUUGGCUUAGAAGCAGCCACUCAUUCAAAGAGUGCGUAAUAGCUCACUGGUCGAGUGAUCCUGCGCCGAAGAUUUCCGGGGCUAAAACUUACUACCGAAGCUACGGCAUCAGUAAUGAUGGGUAGGGGAGCUUCCCAUACGGGUUGAAGCAUGACCGUAAGGACAUGUGGACAGUAUGGGAGUGAGAAUGUUGGCAUGAGUAGCGAGAUGUGGGUGAGAAUCCCACAGGCCGUAAACCCAAGGUUUCCAGGGGAAGGUUCGUCCGCCCUGGGUUAGUCGGGACCUAAGCUGAGGCCGAAAGGCGUAGGUGAUGGACAACAGGUUGAUAUUCCUGUACUACCGAUAACCGUUUGAGAGAAGGGAUGACACAGUAGGAUAAGCUAAGCACACUGUUGGUUAUGUGUGCCCAAGCAUUGAGGCAGUCAAAGUAGGCAAAUCCGCUUUGAUAAUGCUGGGAUGUGAUGGGGAGCGAAAUUUAGUAGCGAAGUAGCUGAUUUCACACUGUCAAGAAAAGUCUCUAUCGAGGUUAAAGGUACCCGUACCGCAAACCGACACAGGUGGGUGAGGAGAGUAUCCUAAGGCCAGCGAGAGAACUGUUGUUAAGGAACUCGGCAAAAUGACCCCGUAACUUAGGGAUAAGGGGUGCCACCAUCAGGUGGCCGCAGAGAAUAGGCCCAAGCGACUGUUUACCAAAAACAUAGGUUUCUGCUAAGUCGCAAGACGAUGUAUAGGAGCUGACGCCUGCCCGGUGCUGGAAGGUUAAGGGGAUCUGUUAGAGCAAUCGAAGCAGUGAACUUAAGCCCCAGUAAACGGCGGCCGUAACUAUAACGGUCCUAAGGUAGCGAAAUUCCUUGUCGGGUAAGUUCCGACCCGCACGAAAGGCGUAACGAUUUGGGCACUGUCUCAACAACAGACUCGGUGAAAUUGUAAUUCCGGUGAAGAUGCCGGAUACCUGCGACAGGACGGAAAGACCCCAUGGAGCUUUACUGUAGCUUGACAUUGGGUCUUGGUACUACAUGUACAGGAUAGGUGGGAGGCUUUGAAACCAGGACGCCAGUUUUGGCGGAGCCAUCCUUGGGAUACCACCCUUGUAGUACUGGGACUCUAACCAUAGGCCAUGAAUCUGGUCUUGGGACACUGUCAGGUGGGCAGUUUGACUGGGGCGGUCGCCUCCCAAAAGGUAACGGAGGCGCUCAAAGGUUCUCUCAGUACGGUCGGAAAUCGUACGUAGAGUGUAAAGGCAAAAGAGAGCUUGAUUGCAAGACAUACAGGUCGAGCAAGGAUGAAAAUCGGACUUAGUGAUCCGGUGGUUCUGCGUGGAAGGGCCAUCGCUCAACGGAUAAAAGCUACCCUGGGGAUAACAGGCUUAUCUCCCCCAAGAGUCCACAUCGACGGGGAGGUUUGGCACCUCGAUGUCGGCUCAUCACAUCCUGGGGCUGUAGUAGGUCCCAAGGGUUGGGCUGUUCGCCCAUUAAAGUGGUACGCGAGCUGGGUUCAGAACGUCGUGAGACAGUUCGGUCCCUAUCCGUCGCAGGCGUAGGAAAUUUGAGAAGACCUGUCCUUAGUACGAGAGGACCGGGAUGGACGUACCUCUGGUGUACCAGUUGUUCUGCCAAGGGCAUGGCUGGGUAGCUAUGUACGGAAUGGAUAAGCGCUGAAAGCAUCUAAGCGCGAAGCCAACUUCAAGAUAAGAUUUCCCACCG
rnacentral:rRNA from 1 species